GUCAUGAGGGUCAGACAAUUCCUUCCAUUCGGCGCGAGCAGCCCAUUGGUUCCACGGUUCCGCUUCACGUGACAGCACCCGGAGGCGCGGUGUAAGAUGGAGCUCUGUUUUGCCACCCUGUAGGCUUGGCUCAAAAAUGCUGUUUGUCAUCACAUGGCCAUCUGGCCAGGGCUGGGAAUAAACCUGGAAAUGAGAAAGUGCUUUACCAGUUUGGCCUGGUGUUCUUGUGGGACACAUGAGAAGGGAGCCAUCUGCAACCCAAGAAAGAGCGCCCUCAUCAGUGAAGAGAAGUGACUAGCACCUUGCUGUUGGACUUAGCCUCCAAAACUGAGAAAUAAAGCAGGCAAAUCCAGAUUGUGGGACAUUCUGGUAUGCAGUUGGCUUGGACUCUUCAAAAAUAUUCAUGCUCUGAAAGACAAAAAAAUACCCAAAGUACGUGAAUGCUCCAAAUUAAGAGACUAAGGAGACAUGGCAGCUGAGGAUGGGAUGCUAAGUCCAAAAAUAAAGGCAAGAAGAGUGGAGGGGAAGGGAGAGGAGGAAGGAAGAAAAUACCAAAAAGGAUAUUUGGGGGGAAAUUGGUGAAAUUUGAAUAUAGUCUUUUUAUUAGAUAAUCCUUUUGUAUUGGUAUUGAGAUCCUUUAUUGUUGUGAAGGAGAAUGUCUUUGUUCUUGGGAGAUACAUGCUGAAAUUUUUAGGUUUGAAAUGUCAUGAUGACUGCAACAUUCAAAUGGUUCAAGACAAAAGUAAACAUAUGGGGAGAGAGAAGCAAACAUGGCAAAAUGUUAAUUGCUGACUGAAUCUAGGUGAAGGAAAUAUGUGUGUUCACUGUAUUAUUCUUUCAACUUAUUUAUAGGUUUCAAAAUUUUCAACAUAAAAAGUGGGGAGGGCCGGCUGAGUGGCUCAGUUGGUUAAGAGUUAGCUUAAGA